GAUGAAGAACGUAGCGAAAUGCGAUACGUAAUGUGAAUUGCAGAAUUCAGUGAAUCAUCGAAUCUUUGAACGCAUAUUGCGCUCUCUGGUAUUCCAGAGAGCAUGCUUGUUUGAGUAUCAGUAAACACCUCAACUCCCUUUUCUUUUUUGAAAUUGGAGCUGGACUUGAGUGAUCCCAACGCUUUCUUCCAAGAAAGUGGCGGGUUGCUUGAAAUGCAGGUGCAGCUGAACUUUUCUCUGAGCUAUAAGCAUAUCUAUUUAGUCUGCCUAAAAAACAGAUUAUUACCUUUGCUGCAGCUAACAUAAAGGAGACUAGUUCUUGUGCUGACUGAUGCAGGAUUCACAGAGACAGCUUCGGCUGACUUUGUAAACUCGAUCUCAAAUCAAGUAAGACUACCCGCUGAACUUAAGCAUAUCAAUAAGCGGAGGA
rnacentral:misc_RNA from 1 species